rnacentral:rRNA from 1 species
ACGAACGCUGGCGGCGUGCUUAACACAUGCAAGUCGAACGAAGAGCGAUGGAAGCUUGCUUCUAUCAAUCUUAGUGGCGAACGGGUGAGUAACGCGUAAUCAACCUGCCCUUCAGAGGGGGACAACAGUUGGAAACGACUGCUAAUACCGCAUACGAUCUGACCUCGGCAUCGAGGAUAGAUGAAAGGUGGCCUCUAUUUAUAAGCUAUCACUGAAGGAGGGGAUUGCGUCUGAUUAGCUAGUUGGAGGGGUAACGGCCCACCAAGGCGAUGAUCAGUAGCCGGUCUGAGAGGAUGAACGGCCACAUUGGGACUGAGACACGGCCCAGACUCCUACGGGAGGCAGCAGUGGGGAAUCUUCCGCAAUGGACGAAAGUCUGACGGAGCAACGCCGCGUGAGUGAUGACGGCCUUCGGGUUGUAAAGCUCUGUUAAUCGGGACGAAAGGCCUUCUUGCGAAUAGUUAGAAGGAUUGACGGUACCGGAAUAGAAAGCCACGGCUAACUACGUG